GCCCAGGUGGUGAAAUUGGUAGACACGCUACUUUGAGGGGUAGUGCCGCAAGGUGUGCUGGUUCGAGUCCAGUCCUGGGCA
rnacentral:tRNA from 1 species